AUAGCUUUGGUCCUAGGCUUAUCGUUAUUUUUUAUUAAGAUUAUACAUGCAAGUCUCUACGCACCAGUGAAAAUGCCCACAACCCCUGAAUAGAUUAACCGGAGCAGGCAUCAGGCACCACCUAUUAGCCCAUGACGCCUUGUCCUACCACACCCUCACGGGUCCACAGCAGUAAUAAACAUUGGACCAUAAGUGAAAACUUGAUCCAACUAUAAUAACCUAGGGCUGGUUAAUUUCGUGCCAGCCACCGCGGUUAAACGAAAGGCCCUAAAUAACGACCAAACGGCGUAAAUUGUGACUAGAUGUUUUUAAUACUAAAAGUAAAAAAUUUAUAGCUUAGUUGUAGAACACUCAAGCCAUAAAGAAAAACAAAAUAUUACUUUUAAUAUUAUACCAUUGACCCCACGAAAGCUUAGAAACAAACUAGGAUUAGAUACCCUACUAUGCUAUGCCCUGAACAUUGAUUAGGCCUUUAUACAAUGCCUUCCGCCAGAGAACUACAAGUGAAAAACUUGAAACUCAAAGGACUUGGCGGUGUCCCAUAUCGACCUAGAGGAGCCUGUCCUAUAAUCGAUAACCCCCGCUCCACCUAACCUCUGCUAGCCAUGCCAGCCUAUAUACCGCCGUCGACAGUCUACACCAUGAGGGUCCAACAGUAGACAAAAUAGUCAUACCACUAACACGUCAGGUCAAGGUGUAGCAAAUGCUGAGGUAGAGAUUGGCUACAUUUUUUAUUCUAAAAAACCACGAAAUGCACCAUGAAACCCCCGCACGAAGGUGAAUUUAGUAGUAAAAUAAAUAAGAGAAUUUGUUUUAACAACGCUCUGGGACGCGCACACACCGCCCGUCACCCUCCUCAACAAUCUAAUUUAUCUUACAUAAACCAAGAUAUUAACCACUAGAGGAGGUAAGUCGUAACAUGGUAAGCGUACCGGAAGGUGCGCUUGGAUUAAC
rnacentral:ncRNA from 1 species